GGCGCUUAUAGAGAUUUGAGGGAGAGAUGAUCAAGAGAUGAAAAACAAGGGUUCUUCCUUGUUACAAUGGGGUGGCCGGCUGGUGAAGGGAAAAAUGGGGGAGGGGUUCCUUUAUGAGAUACUUUUAUUGUUUAGAGGGUUAGUAUCCUAUCCACAAGCAAAAUUUAAUAUAUGAUAUGUGUCUAUUUUUAUUUAUUUUUAGAUUUCUUGUAUUUUUUUCAGAACACUUAAUAGCAUUUUACCUCUGUUUAUAUAGCUUUUUAAUUUGAUUAAGGGUGUACCAAAUAUUUUUUUAAAAGAUUUUCCAUCCUAGUGUUAGGAGAGAAUAAGGCUUUGAAUUUGGUGAUACUAAUGCUUUGCCCCCAUUCAUACUUGUGAUGCACUAUUUCCGAAAAAAAAAUUUGAUACUUUCGAAGUCAACAGUAUCUUAUAGAAUCCCAAUCCCAAAGCCUGUGAUAUGUGUCAGGCUGAAGGAUGAGAGAGAGACCUGACACUUAAAACUCAUUCUUGUAAAAUAAUGAAAGCUAAUACCAGUAAAAGUUUAUAAUAUCUGUAAGCUGAAUGCAAGUAACUUGAUAAAUACUGAAGUCAAUAAAAAUAAUUAAAGCGAUUAAGACAGAUCAUCUCUAUAAAGUUAAAAAGUUCAAACAACUCAUUUUGACAUAUAAAAUGGUAAUAAUCUUCUUGAGGUUUUGCUAAGCAUAACAGCUACACAAUUGUGGUUACAAAAAAAAUAACCCACCGCUUACGAAAACGAAUCAUUUCGAGAUCAACAUCAGUUGCACUGCUAACAAAAUCUACUUCCAUUAUGGGGCUGAAGAAACACAGAAGUUUUGACACUUAUUAUAUAGCUGAGAUAAUUUUAUGAAAGAUAAUAGCCAGAACGUAUGAAUACUACUCUUUUCAGGGGUAACAUGAUCUGUGACUUAUUACAUUGCUUUAUUAAAUUUUCCAACCCGAUUUAGGAUAUUUUUAACAAGAAAACUAGGGUAUCCUAUCGGGCAUCCUUAGAUAAGAGGCUGUUAGUUUCAACUUUUCGGGCAUUGCACAGCUCAUCAACACAAUCACCCCUUUC
rnacentral:lncRNA from 1 species